UUAUUCCAAGUUGUUGGACGCCAUUUUUAUGCAUUCAACUGCACAUGCUCAGUAUUAUUCAAUGGGGACACCUUCAUUUUGCAAUUACUGCUUACCUCGCUGCUUACUGACUUAUCUAUGAUGAGAUUAAGAUGAUGUGCCUGCCUAAACACCCUAUCUACUUACACCAAGAUUCACUUCAAAGUUUUGUAUCAGUUAUGUAUAUACUUCAAUUUGCCUUCAUUCUCUUCAUUACUUCAAUCUCUUCAAGUAAGUCUCGCCUGCCCUUUCACUACCUGCGGAGCUGGAGGAGUGGUCUGGAGACACUACCAUCUAAAAUGUGUGCAAAGAGGAACACAUGGUUGACCUACAUCAUGUGAUAGAGGAGACCAGAUAGGUCAAAAUAGCUGAAACAGAUGCUUUGCAGCUAAGAAAAGUUGAGGAUAGAGUCCCUUUGGACAUCUCUUUCAGAUCCUUCCUCCGGAGGUAAGCGAAGGGGUGGGGCGAGACUAAUGGGUAUGUUAAAUGGUGGGCUUAAACGCCCUCCCCAGUCCAUGUCCAUGUACGUGCAGCCUCAAUUAGGGAGUGGCUUCCAUGGAUCAUGCAUGGCCGUGUCCUACUACUAUUAUAUUUAGGCCACUUCAAUUAGAUUUAUACCCGUUUCCCACCCACAUGGUCCCCCCUCACUAUUUCA